CCUACGGGAGGCUGCAGUGGGGAAUAUUGCUCAAUGGGCGCAACUCUGAUCCAGCGACGCCGCGUGGGUGAUGGAGCGUUUCGGCGCGUAAAGCUCUAUCGGCAUGGAAGAAGAUGACGGUACCUGACCAAGAAGCCCCGGCUAACUACGUGACAGCAGCCGCGGUAAUACGUAGGGGGCACGCGUUAUACGGAUUUGGUGGGUGUAAAGGGGGCGGAGACGGGAAUGCAAGCCAGUGGUGAAAGCCCGGGGCGCAACCCCGGGACUGCACUUGAAACUGCAUGGCUGGAGUGCAGGAGGGGCAGGCGGAAUUCCUAGUGUAGCGGUGAAAGGCGUAGAUAUUAGGAGGAACACCGGUCGCGAAGGCGGCCUGCUGGACUGUGACUGACGUUGAGGCCCGAAGGCGUGGGGAGCAAACAGGAUUAGAUACCCUUGUAGUC
rnacentral:rRNA from 1 species